rnacentral:rRNA from 1 species
CCUACGGGAGGCAGCAGUGAGGAAUAUUGGUCAAUGGCCGGAAGGCUGAACCAGCCAAGCCGCGUGAAGGACGAAGGUGCCAAGCAUUGUAAACUUCUUUUGUCAAGGGAAACAAUCAGGCUCGAGAGCAUGACCCAGGGUACUUGAAGAAAAAGCAUCGGCUAACUCCGUGUCAGCAGCCGCGGUAAUACGGAGGUUGCGAGCGUUAGCGUGAUUUAUUGGGUUUAAAGGGUGCGUAGGCGGACUGUUAAGUCAGCGGUAAAAGCCCGGGGCUCAACCCCGGCGAGCCGUUGAAUCUGGCUGUCUUGAGAGGACGAGAGGUAUGCGGAAUGCGCAGUGUAGCGGUGAAAUGCUUAGAUAUUUGGCAGAACUCCGAUGGCGAAGGCAGCAUACCGGCGGCGAUCUGACGCUGAGGCACGAAAGCGUGGGUAUCGAACAGGAUUAGAUACCCUGGUAGUC